GCUAUAGUGUCUCUUCGUUAUCAAAGAAUACACAUCCUUCAGAUCAGAGAUUCUGGAGAUCUUGUUGAUGUACGAGCAAUUGGGGAAUUCUGCCGUGAAGAUGAUGAACUUUUUCUCAAUUCCAAUUCCCAGGUGCUUGUAAAUCAUGUUGGAAAUGGUUUUCAUCAUAGUCUGCCUCAAUCAGAAACUUCUUUCCUGAGCGGUAU
rnacentral:misc_RNA from 1 species